UAGGCCCUGAAUCAAGACCAGUGGUUUGCUGUAGCUGUUGGUUUCAAACAGGAGCCAAGAGUAAUAUGUUUCUGUGGUCUGUUAGCCAUUCAGCACCCCAAUGGGAAUGGCUCUUUCAAUUAUCAAGCAAUCAUAG
rnacentral:snoRNA from 1 species